rnacentral:lncRNA from 1 species
AUGCUUGUGCUUUUUGAGCUGUGCUGCUGCUGCACAACAGGGCCGCGCCGCGUCCUGCGCCCGGCCUCCACCCGCAGGCGGCGGAGCUGGGCGCACGUGCCGGGAGCAGCCAGCAGCCGGGGAUUUCGGUGGCAGCUUCGGGGCUGGAAAAGCGAUAUUUGCAAUUUGGAAGUUGCUGCGGUCACGGAAACAUUCAAGAAAAGCAAGGGCCGUGCCUAUAGCACGGCAGACACGGAUGAGGUUGGUAGGGGCUGGGGGGAGCGGUGCAGCACCCAGCUGCCCACCGGUGCCAUGGGGAGGAGAGGCAGCCCCGGGCAGUGGGAGCACCGCAGGGCUCGGUGCAUGGAAGCCCCCAAGGGGCACAGGGGGCCGCAGCACCCCAGGGAUGAACGCAGAACUCACACCCAGCUGGCUGUGGCAGAGGGGCACAGCGAGAGCCUCUUCGUGCUGAAAGAAGAACGGGAAUUACUCCACUUCUUUCUCUUGAAGCUAUUCAAAUAUUUUCUCCUGCUGAUUAAUUCGCCGCUCCCCAGGGCUCAGCACGGCUGCUCCCGAGCCAGCGCGGAUGCCUGCCCCGAGGAGCCCCUCGGCACCCCGGGCAGCGCGCUGAGCGGCGCCCACCCUCCCUGGGAGAGGAGCCCCCACGCUGCCAACCCUCCCGGGAAGAGCCCAUUUCCCCUGGGUGCCCCAGCACAGCAAAGCCGAUCGAAGCGGAGCCCAGGCAAGCAACAGCUCCAGUUCUCCGUGGCUUGUGCAUGCACGGAGCAAUCCGGCUCCUUUCCUCCUUUCCCCAAAACCCAGGCGCAGUCCGAUGGCAGCAGGAACGAGCUGCGCAACCUCGCUUUGCUACAGGGAAGCAGCAGAACAGCAGAGCCCCAGGGCACGGGGCAGGGUCGAGGAGGGCACAGCUCCCUUCAUGCGCACAGGAGGUGCAGAUGGGGGCAGGAGCGUGGCACGAGGCCGGGCACCGGUGGGCUGGCGGGCUGCGAGGGGGCGAGUGCCUGCCCGAGGGGCUCUCCGGGAGCCCCCAGGGGCUGCAGGCAGCGUGGCACAGCGCGGCUGUCACGGCACAGCACGGCGGUCACGGGGAUCAAGCGGCGCCGUCCCUGUCGGCUGACACUUCAAAGCCCAGCUCUUCCAGCCGGCUGCCUCGUGCGCGCAGCCCGUAUUCCCUUCCAACCAAUUUCACCGAGCCCAGAGGGAAAUUCUUAA